CCGUAGCUCAGUUGGAUAGAGCAACGGCCUUCUAAGCCGUGGGUCGCAGGUUCGAAUCCUGCCGGGC
rnacentral:tRNA from 1 species